rnacentral:rRNA from 1 species
GACGAACGCUGGCGGCGUGCCUAAUACAUGCAAGUCGAGCGGACGGAUGGGAGCUUGCUCCCAGACCGUCAGCGGCGGACGGGUGAGUAACACGUGGGCAACCUGCCUGUAAGACUGGGAUAACUCCGGGAAACCGGGGCUAAUACCGGAUAACUCUUUCCCUCACAUGAGGGAAAGCUGAAAGAUGGCAUCUCGCUAUCACUUACACAUGGGCCCGCGGGGCAUUAGCUAGUUGGUGAGGUAACGGCUCACCAAGGCGACGAUGCGUAGCCGACCUGAGAGGGUGAUCGGCCACAUGGGGACUGGGACACGGCCAAGACUCCUACGGGAGGCAGCAGAAGGGAAUCUUACGCAAUGGACGAAAGUCUGACGGAGCAACGCCGCGUGAGUGAUGAAGGUGUUCGGAUCGUAAAACUCUGUUGUCAGGGAAGAACAAGUACCGGAGUAACUGCCGGUACCUUGACGGUACCUGACCAGAAAGCCACGGCUAACUACGUG